rnacentral:rRNA from 1 species
AGUCGAACGGCAGCACGAGAGAGCUUGCUCUCUUGGUGGCGAGUGGCGGACGGGUGAGUAAUAUAUCGGAACGUGCCCAGUAGCGGGGGAUAACUACUCGAAAGAGUGGCUAAUACCGCAUACGCCCUACGGGGGAAAGGGGGGGAUCGCAAGACCUCUCACUAUUGGAGCGGCCGAUAUCGGAUUAGCUAGUUGGUGGGGUAAAGGCUCACCAAGGCAACGAUCCGUAGCUGGUUUGAGAGGACGACCAGCCACACUGGGACUGAGACACGGCCCAGACUCCUACGGGAGGCAGCAGUGGGGAAUUUUGGACAAUGGGGGAAACCCUGAUCCAGCCAUCCCGCGUGUAUGAUGAAGGCCUUCGGGUUGUAAAGUACUUUUGGCAGAGAAGAAAAGGCAUCCCCUAAUACGGGAUGCUGCUGACGGUAUCUGCAGAAUAAGCACCGGCUAACUACGUGCCAGCAGCCGCGGUAAUACGUAGGGUGCAAGCGUUAAUCGGAAUUACUGGGCGUAAAGCGUGUGUAGGCGGUUCGGAAAGAAAGAUGUGAAAUCCCAGGGCUCAACCUUGGAACUGCAUUUUUAACUGCCGAGCUAGAGUAUGUCAGAGGGGGGUAGAAUUCCACGUGUAGCAGUGAAAUG